CCUGUUACUGUCUUCAUUUGCUUGACAGUUUGUUUUUCAUCCUUUGAUAUAACCUUCUUCAUAUAUUUACUGGCCAAGUGUAUUUCUUGGGAACUGUUUAAUCUAUUUAACCAGCCUCUGUGUGUGCACUAUACACGAGUGCCUGUAGAGGCCAGAAGAGGUUGUUGGCUCUCCUUGAGCUACAAUUACAGGUAGCUACUGACCAGAGGACCAAACUCUGGUCCUCUCCUAGAGCAGAAAGUGUUGUUUUAAAAAUUAAAAAAAAAAAAAAUCAGUCCUAUGUGUUUGUGUCUGUUUCUGCACCGUUCUUUACCUACAUUUCUUUCCUUUACAUAGAACCGCAUUGUCUGGAUUGCUGUUCUUUUAUCAUCUUUGUUUUGUUUAGCUGGUCUUUUUACUACUUUGUAGGUUCUUUUCCCCACCCGCAGUUUCAUCCUCUAUCACUAGAUAGCAGUAAAAAAAAAAAAAA
rnacentral:lncRNA from 1 species